rnacentral:rRNA from 1 species
CACGCAGGCGGUCUGUUAAGUCAGAUGUGAAAUCCCCGGGCUUAACCUGGGAACUGCAUUUGAAACUGGCAGGCUUGAGUCUUGUAGAGGGGGGUAGAAUUCCAGGUGUAGCGGUGAAAUGCGUAGAGAUCUGGAGGAAUACCGGUGGCGAAGGCGGCCCCCUGGACAAAGACUGACGCUCAGGUGCGAAAGCGUGGGGAGCAAACAGGAUUAGAUACCCUGGUAGUCCACGCCGUAAACGAUGUCGACUUGGAGGUUGUUCCCUUGAGGAGUGGCUUCCGGAGCUAACGCGUUAAGUCGACCGCCUGGGGAGUACGGCCGCAAGGUUAAAACUCAAAGGAAAUUGACGGA